CCAGGUCUUGACAUACCAUUGACCGUUCUAGAGAUAGGAUUUUCCCUUCGGGGACAAUGGAUACAGGUGGUGCAUGGUUGUCGUCAGCUCGUGUCGUGAGAUGUUGGGUUAAGUCCCGCAACGAGCGCAACCCCUGUCGUUAGUUGCCAGCAUUCAGUUGGGGACUCUAACGAGACUGCCAGUGACAAACUGGAGGAAGGUGGGGAUGACGUCAAAUCAUCAUGCCCCUUAUGACCUGGGCUACACACGUGCUACAAUGGUUGGUACAAAGAGAAGCGAAGCGGUGACGUGGAGCAAACCUCAUAAAGCCAAUCUCAGUUCGGAUUGUAGGCUGCAACUCGCCUACAUGAAGUUGGAAUCGCUAGUAAUCGCGAAUCAGAAUGUCGCGGUGAAUACGUUCCCGGGUCUUGUACACACCGCCCGUCACACCACGAGAGUCUACAACACCCGAAGUCAGUGGCCUAACCGCAAGGAGGGAGCUGCCUAAGGUGGGGUAGAUGAUUGGGGUGAAGUCGUAACAAGGUAUCCCUACCGGAAGGUG
rnacentral:rRNA from 1 species